AUUCUCAAAUGCAGCAGGUGAUAGUGCACCUCUCAGGACUCUGGGGUUCUCUGCCCAUCUCCACCACUGGCCUUUGAUAGGCCCUUGGUGAAACUACAGCUUCCUCACAGUUCUCGGCCAGCUCCCAGCUCUUCAGCUCCCAAGCAAGUGCUGUAAGGUACAUUCAGUCCCUGUGUGACUUCUUCUGCACAGCAUGCAUGUUGCAGUGCCAGCCAGAGCCAGCCAGCCGCAAAUUGUGUGUAAAUGGAACAUGCUUGGAAAAUUAUGAUCGCGCAACCCCUGCACACGGGAUUAGUGUCUAAUCUCAGCGAGCCCCGAGUCAAUGCAGACACAGGCCAUGGACGUCACGGAAGUGACUGCAGAUUUACACUCCACUCAGCAGCCACCUAGCAAUCACUCUGGUGCUUUGGAAUCCUUCCGUCCGAAAGACGGCGUGGCAGGGUUGUGGAGGAAGGCUCAAGACACAGAAUGUGCAAGCUGUGAUGGCGUGCAAAUGGAACACGGUGGGAAAGUGUGUGUCGAGCCCGCCAGUGACCUGGUCCGUGUAAGAGGAUAACAGCCUACUACUGCUGCCAGCAAAUGAAGUUCAGCAAAUGGGCUCGGAACACCCCUGAGUACUGCACUGUUUGAAUCUGAGGGUUAGUUUGGGCCCUUUGUAAAAAGAGUAUCCAUGCACAGCUCAGAAUUGUUAUUAGUCUUUAUUGUCUGUAUUUCAGCGAUGUCUGCAGACCCCAGGCAGGAUCAGGGCACCAUGGCACUAGAUGCUGUAUGCGUACAUACCAAACAGACAGCCUCUGCCUCCAGGAGCUCACAGUUUAAGGUCGGAGGAGCUACAGCCGUUCACUGUACCGGCAAAGUCCUCACAUCUUCCACUGGCUGUGACAGGCUGACAAUUUCCUGCAGUCUCCGGAAUGAACAUAAGUUCAAUCUUAUUGAAUUUGGUUAAUAUCUUUGGGAUCCAGGGCCAGCUCCAGGCACCAGCAGAGGAAGCACAUGCUAAGGGCGGCAUUCCGGCCAUUCUUGGGGCGAAACAGUCCGGGUGGCUUUUUUGUUUUUUGCUUGGGGCGGCAAAAAUGGUAGAGCCGGCCCUGUUGGGAUCUAUUGUAUUAAAAAUGCAGUUGUGUGUGUGUGUGUUAAUGUGGAGUUGUAUGUUCAGUAUUGUUUCCAUAGGCAGGGUAAAUAGGAGAUCAGCAGGGGGUGAUUAGGCGAAUUCACGCAGGUUGUAACAACUCCAGAGAAGCCGCCCCCCCCGGAGACCGGUCACAUAUACUGGUUCAAACUGGAUUCUCCAGGGACCAACAGCUGGAGGAAGAGUUUUUGGAUAAAGAGCUUGAUUUUAAAAUGGCUCAGGGCCUUCUCCCCGAUCCAGCAAACGGACAGGUCCCAGGGCCCUUCUGGAAGGGUUGGAAGGACAGGGCCUA